rnacentral:misc_RNA from 1 species
ACUCGCUUGCUAGAAUGCGGC